rnacentral:rRNA from 2 species
ACCGCAUGCAGGUAAACGGGUGGCGUCAAGCUGCAAGCUCAGAGGAUUCAGCCGGCUAGGAUGUUGUGUAUGCGCCUGGCGCAUCCAUCAGUCAGAGUAUGAUUAGAUAGUCCACUGGUAAACGGUGGGCCCGACCGCAAGGUUGGGAUAUGUGUACCGGGUGGGUGCCGGAGCAUGCUAUCUGUCUAGGGACUGUCUAGCCGGUGCACUUUCUCUGUGGCUGACACCACGACCGGUGGUAUUGCCAGUCUGCUGUGUCCAAGUCGUAUCCGGUAGGUCCUUGUGGCCAACUGGGUGCGAUCACAGACAAACUCAGUAUACGGCGUAGAGGGGUUUCGGCUUCUUUGCGUGUUAUCGGCUACUGGUUGUCAACGGGCUGCCUAGUGUUUGUUGUAAUCGGCACUUGGGUAGUCUGGUGGGGCAUGGUGGUAAGAAUAACUGUGCAAGGCACCGGAUUUAUCGGCCUCAAAUGCACUCCGCGCCCAUGUUACAAGUGGUGCUAUGGUGGUGCCGUCGCUGCCUGCUCGGUGUUGGGUCUGAUUGUCGUGUCGCCUGCGAAAAGUGGGCCCGGCUUUGGCUCGACUCGAGAUGGGUAGUGUAUGGUGUCGUCAGUGCGGAGUGUGGUGGGCCUAAUAGUCAGUGGUGUAGUGGUAGACGAGCUACCCGACCCGUCUUGA